rnacentral:rRNA from 1 species
CAAAGAUGGGCAUGCGGAACAUUAGCUAGUUGGUAGGGUAACGACCUACCAAGACUACGAUGUUUAGGGGAUCUGAGAGGAUGACCCCCCACACUGGUACUGAGACACGGACCAGACUCCUACGGGAGGCAGCAGUAAGGAAUAUUGGUCAAUGGGCGGAAGCCUGAACCAGCCAUGCCGCGUGCAGGAAGACGGCCCUACGGGUUGUAAACUGCUUUUAUACGGGAAUAAACCUCGGUACGUGUACCGAGCUGAAUGUACUGUAAGAAUAAGGAUCGGCUAACUCCGUGCCAGCAGCCGCGGUAAUACGGAGGAUCCAAGCGUUAUCCGGAUUUAUUGGGUUUAAAGGGUGCGUAGGUGGCCUGGUAAGUCAGGGGUGAAAGACGGUCGCUUAACGAUCGCAGUGCCUUUGAUACUGCCGGGCUUGAAUAAACUAGAGGUAGGCGGGAUGUGACAAGUAGCGGUGAAAUGCAUAGAUAUGUCACAGAACACCGAUUGCGAAGGCAGCUUACUAUGGUUUCAUUGACACUGAGGCACGAAAGCGUGGGGAUCAAACAGGAUUAGAUACCCUGGUAGUCCACGCCCUAAACGAUGAAUACUCGAUGUUGGCGAUAUACGGUCAGCGUCUAAGCGAAAGCGUUAAGUAUUCCACCUGGGGAGUACGCCCGCAAGGGUGAAACUCAAAGGAAUUGACGGGGGCCCGCACAAGCGGAGGAGCAUGUGGUUUAAUUCGAUGAUACGCGAGGAACCUUACCCGGGCUUGAAAGUUAGUGAAUGAGACAGAGACGUCUCAGUCCUUCGGGACACGAAACUAGGUGCUGCAUGGCUGUCGUCAGCUCGUGCCGUGAGGUGUUGGGGUAAGUCCCGCAACGAG